rnacentral:sRNA from 1 species
AUGUACCCGCACCUUCCGAUUCCUCCGCACCGUCCGCACCCAACCUGACGAUUGUUCGCUCUGUCUGUUAGCC